rnacentral:rRNA from 1 species
UACGUAGGUGGCAAGCGUUGUCCGGAUUUAUUGGGUUUAAAGGGUGCGUAGGCGGCCCUGUAAGUCAGUGCUGAAAUACCCCGGCUUAACCGGGGGGUGGCAUUGAUACUGCAGGGCUUGAGUACAGAUGAGGUAGGCGGAAUUGACGGUGUAGCGGUGAAAAUGCGUAGAUAUCGUAAGGAAGACCAGUGGCGAAAGGC